GGCAAGAUGGCCGAGCGGUUAAGGCGGUAGACUCAAGUUGUACUUGUCUGUGAACACAGAAACUAUUCUACUGGGGCAACCCGCGCGAGUUCGAAUCUCGCUCUUGUCA